CUCAUCCAGAGGUAUUAUAAUAACUGAAGCAAAAACUACAAGAGAGCCCUGGAAACGUUCAAGGAGGAGAGCAGGACAGAAAUCUCAGGAGGAAGCUGUGAGAAGCAUCCUUAUUCUUUGGAGAGAAGAUACACCGGACAAAAAGAGCCUGACCAGGGUAGAGGAGCCACCACGGGGCAAAGAUUCAGCUCUUAGAAGACUUCUCUGAACCUUAAACUCAUCCAAAAUAUAACCAUGCCUCUAGCGAUGAGGAGUCUGCCUGCUGGAAGUUCCAGCUACUCAGAGGCAGGGCUCCAGAGGAGCCCCAGGUCUCUAGAACAAACAAACCAAGACAUAAACAAAUGUUGAGUACAUCA